GAAAUAGGACGCGCGUUCCCAUUUUGUUGGUUUAUGAGAUCGCCGUAAUGAUUAAUAGGGAUAGUUGGGGGCAUUUGUAUUCCGUCGUCAGAAGGUGAAAUUCUUGGAUUGCCGGAAGACAAACUACUGCGAAAGCAUUUGCCAAGGAUGUUUUCAUUGAUCAAGAACGAAGGAAGGGGGAUCGAAAACGAUCAGAUACCGUUGUAGUCUCUUCUGUAAACCUAUGCCAAGUUGGGGAUCAGCUAAGAAUUUCAAUGACUUAGUUGGCAACCCGAAGAGAAAUCUUUAAAUGAGGUUCGGGGGGGGAGUAUGGUCGCAAGGCUGAAACUUAAAGGAAUUGACGGAAGGGCACCACCAGGUGUGGAGCCUGCGGCUUAAUUUGACUCAACACGGGGAAACUCACCAGGUCCAGGCACAAUAAGGAUUGACAGAUUGAUAGCUCUUUCUUGAUCUUGUGGUUGGUGGUGCAUGGCCGUUCUUAGUUGGUGGAGUGAUUUGUCUGGUUAAUUCCGAUAACGAACGAGACCUUAACCUGCUAAAUAGUCCCCUCGGCUUUGGCUGAGGGCUGACUUCUUAGAGGGACUAUCAGCGUUUAGCUGAUGGAAGUUUGAGGCAAUAACAGGUCUGUGAUGCCCUUAGAUGUUCUGGGCCGCACGCGCGCUACACUGACAGAGCCAGCGAGUACUCUCCUUGGCCGGAAGGCCUGGGUAAUCUUGUGAAACUCUGUCGUGA
rnacentral:rRNA from 1 species